AUAAAUUAACCCUAUUUCACUUAGCAGUGCCACAAAUUUGUUUUUCAUUUCAUUUUCUUCUCUCUGAUAUUGAAACAACUCUCUCUCUUUCCGUUCACUCGUAACUUUCUUUCUUUGUCUGUCUCAGUUCCAUCCACCUCCCCACCUCCUUUAACUACGUCCGGCGUCCAUAGUCCCCUUCUCUCUAUCCACACCCUAUUGUCCCAUCUAUUUCCUAGUUUUGCUUGGCGACGACCACACGACGUCCUGAUUUGCAUAUAUUCAUUGGAGCAAUUUGCAAAUUUUUUACACUUACUACAGUAAAGGUUCUUUAGUGAUUUGCAAUAGUUUUUUAUUUUUUGAAAUGCAUAAAUGGGUUCAAUUAUAUUACACUUAUAGUUAGCCCUAAUUUGUAUAAUGAAUCUUCCUUUAGCCCUAAUUUGUAUAAUUAUUCUACAAUUAAUUGAAGUAUAAUGAUGAAGUUGGUUUAUAAUUUGGUUUAUACUGAUGAGUUUUAC
rnacentral:lncRNA from 1 species